rnacentral:rRNA from 1 species
GAUGAACGCUAGCUACAGGCUUAACACAUGCAAGUCGAGGGGAAACGCCAUUGAAGCUUGCUUCGAUGGUCGUCGACCGGCGCACGGGUGAGUAACGCGUAUCCAACCUGCCUCUGACCAAGGGAUAACCCGUCGAAAGUCGGCCUAAUACCUUAUGCAGUCGUCGGAAGUCAUCUGAUGACGACGAAAGAUUUCAUCGGUGAGAGAUGGGGAUGCGUCUGAUUAGCUUGUUGGCGGGGUAACGGCCCACCAAGGCAACGAUCAGUAGGGGUUCUGAGAGGAAGGUCCCCCACAUUGGAACUGAGACACGGUCCAAACUCCUACGGGAGGCAGCAGUGAGGAAUAUUGGUCAAUGGGCGAGAGCCUGAACCAGCCAAGUAGCGUGCAGGAUGACGGCCCUAUGGGUUGUAAACUGCUUUUAUGCGGGGAUAAAGUGAGGGACGUGUCCUUCAUUGCAGGUACCGCAUGAAUAAGAACCGGCUAAUUCCGUG